rnacentral:rRNA from 1 species
AUUGCAGGCUGCAACUCGCCUGCAUGAAGUCGGAAUUGCUAGUAAUCGCAGAUCAGCAUGCUGCGGUGAAUACGUUCCCGGGCCUUGUACACACCGCCCGUCACACCAUGGGAGUCGGUAACACCCGAAGUCGGUAGCCUAACCGUAAGGAGGGCGCCGCCGAAGGUGGGAUUGAUGACUGGGGUGAAGUCGUAACAAGGUAGC